CAUAACGUGGUGGCCACACCACAUGUGAACAAGUGUUAGUAGUUUUCUUUUUUAACACUUAACAUACAAACAUUUCAGAUAAUCACAGUACACAUACAGCACACACUUUAUUACUGACAGUUUGUUGGAUAAUUUGAGUGCACGUGUUUUAGUUAACAUUCUGUUUUUCAUAUUUCUUGCUUGUGUUUAAUCCUGAUUUGUCUUUUGUUUCAUGGAUUCGGCGAGUCCUCCCUCUGGCCGAAAGAGUCGGCGCCGGUAAAGAUGGCCGCUUAUACUGCGGCAGGCAGGAAGUGGAAGAGACCAACGGGAGCGUGUCAGAGGGGAGUCUGCCUUUCAGGAUCCAGUAAACUUCAGUUACUUUAAGUUUAUUUUUCUUGCUUUUGAUAGUUAGUUUUGGUUAUAAAUAGUUUCUUGAUUUAAAUCUUUGUUGAUAUUAAGGUUACUUUGUGUUAUAGAGUUAAUUGUUUAUUCCUGCCCCCCUUAUGUGUCAUUUGUCAGGUCUGUUAUGCUGUUUGUUUAGUUGACCUCAAUUUGAGUUUUUGAAAUUACUUUCUACUAGUUUUCCUAUUUUUGUAUUUUGGGAAAAGUUGAAAUUAAGUUGUAAAUAGAUGACUAAUUUUUGCUUUAUACACCUUGUGUUCCUGAGUUUUACUGCUUGGUCCCUGACACAUAAUAACACACUUCUUUUUGCAGAAAACACACAAACCUGGCAACCCUGCAGAGAUCUAACGGGUAACAUUAUAUGGAGACAAAUGGCAAGAUUGUUUGGAAUCAGUAAAAACACUGGUUGUUGGGACAUUUCACCACCGUUCAUACUCAAAUCUACACCCAUGCUCAACAUCCUAGAUGUUUACAGGCUGAAGACAUGCGACAGACAGUAACGAUGACUUCAGAGGAAAGCGGUGGGAAGUUUUACAGAUAUGGACAAAACCCAGUUUCGAUGAUCUGAGCGGUCUGAGAAUACGGAAACGCUGAAUGAGAGAUUGCGUUGAGUUACAGAAGCCGGUGGAACAGAGGCUAGACAGGAAGUGACAUCAUGACCUCAGCUCUC